rnacentral:lncRNA from 1 species
CAUUUGAUACUUUAAGUUUCUAGUUUUCCUGCCCAAAUUUUCCUUCUUGUUUAACUCCUUCAAUGUAGUAAGCCCAACUAUUUUAAAGUUGGUGAGGACGGCCCUUUUAACUCUCUUAAUCUGAAUUUCCCAUGGAUCUGUUUCCCUUGUCUGUUUUCAUUUUCUCUCGGUUUUCAGUCAAAUCUUGUGUUUUCAUACACGUGGGUAUAUUUGACUGAGUGCUGGCCAUUGUUAAUGAAAACUGCACAGACAGUUGAGACUCUAGAUGACAUUCUCUUCUUUCCGAGACAAUCUGUUUUCUUCUCAUGGGCCACAAGGCCAGGAGUACAAGCAGUCCCAGAUCACUUAACACCAUCAGAAAAGUUUAGAUGAUCUGAAGGUGGCUUUCUGUCCCUAGGGGAGCAGUUCUAUUCCUAAUCCAUGCUUAUUCCUAGGGCAUAACCCUUCAGAGUUCCAGAAAACCUGGACCCUUCCUGCUGAUUGAGCUUCUUACCUCCAGUUUGUUCCCAGACCCCUCUGGGUCUAUAGCUCUGCUCAGCAUUUUAUUCUCCCAGCAGCUGAUCUUGGCAAUUGCCUUGGCAGGUACAUGCAAUGCUGGGCUUUUCUCCUUUGCUUUUUCUCCCAGGAUCUUAGCCUCACAAAUUCUCAUUGCUUGGAAAGCUCGCCAGGAUUUUAAACAGAUCAGUUUUCUAAAUUUUCUUAUUAUUUUUAAUCAACAGAGAAAGUAAUCUAGACUACCACUGCUGAAAAUAUAACCCUAGUCUGAUUAAAAUUUUUUUUCUUUGCCAUUUAUUCUGUUCUUAAUUAAAAAAAUUUUUGAUCAGGCUCUCUGUUUAACAAGGUUUCGUGUUAGAGUUACUAAUCUCAUCCAAAGCUUGAAUGCAAACACAGGUUUUUCUUUUCAGAUAAUGGCAAUGAUUUUGUCAUAAUUCUUGGACAAUCGUGUUGGUUCCAUUUACUCUAUUUCAUCCAAGAAUGUCUAUUAUAUUCAUAUACUGGACACUCCAUUUUCUACCAUCCGUACAUCAUUUUCUUGGUUAGCAUUUUCUUCCAUUUAUCCUUUUGGUCUCAUUUCUGAAGAUCUUCCCAUUUUCCCCCCCACUGUUUCAGUUCCCUACAAUCUGAGUUCUGCAUAGUUUGUCAUGGUAAAUUUUAAUAUGUACUAUUUGUAUUAUAAUUUCCUUGCAAAUGUUCCUAUGUCUAUUUUCAGCUCAUUUUAUGAUUCUCAUCUAAGCUAAUUCUCCCUUUGUGACUUUUCCCCUCUUCAUUCAUAGAGUUGACAUCUCUUUAACUUUUUGAGGCUAUUGAAUAAUCCUGAAAUAACCCAAAUCCUGCAAUAGAUCAUUUUCAAAUAUAUGUUCAUCCUUUGAGACUUCUAGAUGCUAUUAGGCAGUUUUUCUUUACGGUGGCUCAAUCUGCAUACCUGGAACUUCUACUUGAGGAAUCAUUUUAAAUUAUGUACAAAGGGAAUACUUUGAAUCGUGGAAUUUAUAAACUCCUAUGGUCACCAUCAGAAAAUUUAGAGCUGGAAGCUGAUAAAACAAGGAUAAAAUUGGAUGAUUACAUUGUAUUCUUAAAGUCUCAAAGAUUAAACCGACCUCCAAGCUGUCUUUUAAUUUCUUUAAAUUUUGUAAUACUCGGAACUACCUUAAUGGCAGCAGCACAUUUUAGUUUCUAUUACUUGUUCACCAGACAUUUAUUAAGUUCCUGCCGUAAUGAUGAAGGGAACACGACACAAAAAGACAUGUAUCCUAAUUUCAAAUACUAUUAGCAAAGAAAACAGGGAAAAAGUAUUACUGGAGAAAAGUAUAUUUGUGAAGAAAAAUAUAACCUAUUUCAAAGAGCUUUGAAGAAGGAGUUGGGAAUUAACUGACCUAAUUCAUUCAGAGAAACUAUGUGUACUGUCAAGUAAGUCAGUUGCUUUAUUUGAACCUAAUCCCAACUGUAAAAACACUAAUCGCUUCAGCUUCCAUGUUGCCUCAAUUUUAUGGGAGCAUUAAUGUGAAGCUACAUGAGGAUCUUGCAUGUGAUAUAAGAAAGUCCUUGUGUAACUUCAAGGUGGAUUAUCAGUGCUAUUAUUUUCACUAUAAUUAUUAUUCUCAUCUGUGCAUCUCUAGGUCAAUAGUCUAUUAACUUCAAAGGACUGGUGAGAAAAAUUCAUAGAGAAGAAUCCAUAAGGAUCGAUGUAUCUUCAGAGCAGUACCUGUGCACAGACACAUUAUCCUUAUGCUUCCUGGUGUUCCCUUGAAUGAGAAAAGCAAAAAACCAACUGAUACUUGCUAUUUAAUUUUUUCAUGAGUAAAAUUUCUAAAUUAAAGAAGUCUGUUAUUUCUUUGUUUCUAUUUCUUGCCUCAUUGUCUUUUUAAUGAUACAAUCUUUUUGCAUUUCUUUGAUUCUCCACUAUCCCCAUCAUUAGACAUUAUUUUCCCAUUUUAGCAAAUAUCAAUAUUCCAGGUUGCCAAUGAGAACGUAUAACAUAACUCAUGUUUUUGGGGUAUCCACUGGCCACAUGCAUGGUCAGAAACACACACAUCAGCACUGUAGAGAUGAUUCCUGCCCUUAAAAAAUUGAGAAGUUUCCUUCCUUAGUUUCUAUAUUGUCAACCAGUGGGUAGGUGGCAAUGAAAAUAGCUGUAACAACUGGUACAUAUCUUUUCCUAGCUUAGAUGACAUGACAGGAUAGUAAAAGAUCAUGUGCCUUGCAGUUUGCAUUUUUGGUUUUAUAGUAAUAGAGAUUAGGUGGAAAAUUUUCUUUUAGGUAGUUCUGAGUAUUAUAGUAAUGGAGCUUAGGUGACUCCUCUACCCUCUUGAAAAGAUACACAAAGAACUCUGCUCAUGAGCCACGA